AGAGUUUGAUCAUGGCUCAGAAUCAACGCUGGCGGCGUGCCUCAGACAUGCAAGUCGAACGCGAAAGCCCUUCGGGGCAAGUAGAGUGGCGCACGGGUGAGUAACACGUAGGUAAUCUACCUUUGGAUUGGGAAUAACAACCGGAAACGGUUGCUAAUACCGAAUAAUGCAGCGGCACCUAAUGGUGACAGUUGUUAAAGCGGGGGAUCGCAAGACCUCGCGUCUGAAGAGGAGCCUGCGGCAGAUUAGCUAGUUGGUAAGGUAAUGGCUUACCAAGGCGAUGAUCUGUAGCCGGCCUGAGAGGGCGGUCGGCCACACUGACACUGACAUACGGGUCAGACUCCUACGGGAGGCAGCAGUCGGGAAUUUUGGGCAAUGGGCGAAAGCCUGACCCAGCAACGCCGCGUGAAGGAUGAAAUCCCUCGGGAUGUAAACUUCGCAAGAACGGGAAGAAUAAGUGAGAGCUAACAUCUCUUACGAUGACGGUACUGUUUGUAAGCUCCGGCUAACUCCGUGCCAGCAGCCGCGGUAAUACGGGGGGAGCAAGCGUUGUUCGGAUUUACUGGGCGUAGAGGGCGCGUAGGCGGCCACCGCAAGUCGACUGUGAAAUCUCCGGGCUUAACCCGGAACGGUCAGCCGAUACUGCGGGGCUAGAGUGCAGAA
rnacentral:rRNA from 1 species